rnacentral:rRNA from 1 species
AUGGUGGUGUCGGUGGUGCCGCCCGUGCCGGCGUUGGGCCGCGCCCGGAAAUUUGCUCCGGGUGGCCGGGGCCGACCGGUGUCAUUUCCCUCUGGGUCGUCGGGGUGGAUGCGCGUUGGUCGGCGCCGGCGGUGUGCGGGUCGGGGCCCGGCUCCUUGCCCCGAUCGUGGUCUCCUCGGUCCUUCCCCGUCCCCUGUGAUGUUGGAUUCGGUCGAUGUGGCGUCUCCGGUCGCUGGCCCUGUUCGCCCUCCUCCUCUCCGGCCAGGGCCGGCGCCGGUGGCGGCGGUCGCGCCGGCGUGUGCGGGGGCGGUUGGUGGCCUAACCCUAGAUCCGGUCUGCCCUGCGGUUGAGGUGGGCCUUGGUGGGCACUUGGGCCUGGUGGCGCCUGGUUCGAUUCGGGCUGGGCCGCCCGGGCCCCCGGUUUUGUCGUCCCUCGAGUCUUCUUCCCCCCUUCCGUCUAUGGGCCCAGGGCAGCUGGUUGUGGCCACUGCUUCGCGUCCGUCCCCUUCCCUGGCCUGCGGCCCCGUUUCGGCCCAUUCGGCCCUUUCUGGCCUUGCCUGUUGUGGCUAUAUAUGGGUGCGUCGCGGUGCCUCUCCCCCCUUCCUAGGGUUUCCUGCUUCCGCCGCCGAUAUCCGCAGGGCGCAUCGCCCUAUCCGCCAUUUCUCCAGAUCCGCUCCUUCCCCACCCCCUCUCCUCCUCUCCUCCGCUGAAGUGAUCGCCAUGGACAAAUCUAGGGGUUCCUCCUCUGAGGCCCUUUCGGGCAGCAAGCGGGCCCGUGAAGCUUCGCCGGGCAAUGGGGUCGAUCUGGCCUAUGAGGCGGAGCUGCGGUCGAAGCUCGAAUCUGAGCGGGCGGUGCGCGAGCGGUCGCGCGAGCGGGAGGAUUGGGAGGCGGGGCCGGAGCGCUCCGUGGCCAGAUCUGGGACGACGCUCCCUGGAUCUGGUGGUGCGGCGGGGUCGGGGCUAGAUCCGUGGGAGGCCGCUGUUGCUUCGGCUGGCGGUGGCUCCUCCUCGUCGGCGCCGCGUCCCGCUCCGGCCAGGGGCCCGGUCCCUCCGCCUCGGCCACCCCCUCGCUCGUUUGUGGCUGGCGCUGCCUCUCGCUCGGGGCCGCGCUUCGGGCCUGGCUCUUCCUCUUCGCAGGCUGGGGAGCGACGUCCUCCUCCUUCUGCUCCAGGUGCCCCUUCUGCGAUCCGUGGUGAUGGCAUCCUGCCGCCGCCGCCUCCCCCUCCCCGCCAGCAUCCUGUUUCCUCGGGCCCUUCUCCGACCCUGACUUGCUUUGCCUGCCACCGCCCGAACCACUUCCAAUCUAGAUGCACUAACCCACCCUUCUGCCUCAUUUUUCGCUCCGAUGGUCAUCUUACUGUGGACUGCCGUAACCGUACCAAGAGCCCCUCCUUCAUACAGUUUGGCUUGGGUUUACCUAGAUGCUCGUUCUUCGCUCUGGAUGCUGAUGUUCCUGUGGUGAUGGCUGCGCCGUCCCUCUCUAACGCGGCCAUCAUCACGGUGUGUGGCCAGAUGAUUUCUCCGCAGACCCUCCUGGAAGGUUUGAAAAUAUGGGACAACGGUGGCUGGGACUGGCAGGUGCGCCAGCUUUCAGAGUAUGAAUUUGCAGUGGUUUUCCCCUCCAAGGACUGUCUAAGGAUGAUCUCCUCGUGCACCAGUUUUACUCUCCCCCUGAACCAGCUUGUGGUAUCUGUCAAAGCGGCUACUUGUGGUGCAAAGGCGGUGGGCCCUCUCAGCAAGAUUUGGGUGCUAGUUGACGACUUGCCAGUUGGGCUUCGAUCUGUGGAGUUCAUGAUGGCGUUUGGUAAGCUCAUUGGCAAGCCUUUGGAAGUGGAUUCGGAAUCUUUGGGCAAGGUUGAUCCGGUUCGUCUCAAUGUAUGA